CAUCAUGUUUCCAAGGGCUGUGGUUGCUGGUGGCUACAGGUUCUCCAACUGCGUGUGAGAGUAACAUGGAGAGACUUUGACAGCCCUGGUCACAAGGUACCUGCAGCUGCCACUCACCUUUCCUAUAGUG
rnacentral:snoRNA from 1 species